rnacentral:rRNA from 1 species
CCUACGGGAGGCAGCAGUGGGGAAUUUUGGACAAUGGGGGCAACCCUGAUCCAGCCAUUCCGCGUGAGUGAAGAAGGCCUUCGGGUUGUAAAGCUCUUUCGCAAGGGAAGAAAACUUAUGAUCGAAUAAAUCAUGAGGUUGACGGUACCUUGAUAAGAAGCACCGGCUAACUACGUGCCAGCAGCCGCGGUAAUACGUAGGGUGCGAGCGUUAAUCGGAAUUACUGGGCGUAAAGCGUGCGCAGGCGGUUUUGUAAGUCGGAUGUGAAAUCCCCGGGCUCAACCUGGGAACUGCGUUCGAAACUGCAAGGCUAGAGUGUGUCAGAGGGGGGUAGAAUUCCACGUGUAGCAGUGAAAUGCGUAGAGAUGUGGAGGAAUACCAAUGGCGAAGGCAGCCCCCUGGGAUAACACUGACGCUCAUGCACGAAAGCGUGGGGAGCAAACAGGAUUAGAUACCCUGGUAGUCCACGCCCUAAACGACGUCAACUAGUUGUUGGUAGAGUAAAAUCUAUGAGUAACGUAGCUAACGCGUGAAGUUGACCGCCUGGGGAGUACGGUCGCAAGAUUAAAACUCAAAUGAAUUGACGG